rnacentral:rRNA from 1 species
UACGUAGGGGGCAAGCGUUGUCCGGAAUCAUUGGGCGUAAAGCGCGCGUAGGCGGCCCGGUAAGUCCGCUGUAAAAGUCCAGGGCUCAACCCUGGAAAAGCCGGGUGGAUACUGUCGGGCUAGAGUCCGGAAGAGGCGAGUGGAAUUCCUGGUGUAGCGGUGGAAAUGCGCAGAUAUCAGGAGGAACACCAAUUGCGAAGGCAGCUCGCUGGGACGUUACUGACGCUGAGACGCGAAAGCGUGGGGAGCAAACAGG